GGCAAAGUUAUCAUUCAUUUGUCUGAUUUUCCUGGUCAUUGCCUGUGUGUUUGCAGCGCCGGGCCCACACAAAUUUGGUGGUGGCAAACGCGGCGGCCAUAGUGGAGGUGGAGGCUAUGGUAGAGGCGGUGGCUAUGGUGAAGGUGGCGGAGGUGGUGGCGGCGGAGGUGGAGGCUACGGUACAGGCGGUGGCUAUGGUGGAAGCGGCGGAGGUGGCGGUGGCGGAGGUGGCGGUGGAUACUAGACGGAGACAGUGGUGGUAGCUCUAGCUGACGCUGGAGUUGCAGAUUAGCGCUUUAUAGAAUUUACAGAUAUUCAGUGGAAAAUGACACCUCAGACGUCCUAAAGAAAAUUCAAGAUCAAUGUAAAAUUCACUAAAAAAAUCAGCUUGUUAAAAUUAUUGUAAAACAAAAAAAUAAACAUACCUUC